rnacentral:lncRNA from 1 species
UGAUCCAAUCUCCAUUGCUCAAUCAAAUUGAGCCAAUAAUAAUCAAAUUAUUAAUUAAUUAUUCUUUUAAUUUAUGAAUCAUUAGUAAAUAAUUUAUUACAAUCUUUGCAUAGGAUUAAUCAUCAAUCACAUUGGUAAUUAGACCCUUUAAUGAUUCAUAAUCGUUGGUCAGCCAUUUGAUCAAACAGAUACUUCUAUGUGUGUGACCCC